rnacentral:rRNA from 1 species
GCGAACGCUGGCGGCAGGCCUAACACAUGCAAGUCGAGCGGGCACCGCAAGGUGUCAGCGGCAGACGGGAGAGUAACACGUGGGAACGUGCCCUUCGGUUCGGAAUAACUCGGGGAAACCCGAGCUAAUACCGAAUACGCCCUUACGGGGAAAGAUUUAUCGCCGAUGGAGCGGCCCGCGUCUGAUUAGCUAGUUGGUGAGGUAACGGCUCACCAAGGCGACGAUCAGUAGCUGGUCUGAGAGGAUGAUCAGCCUCACUGGGACUGAGACACGGCCCAGACUCCUACGGGAGGCAGCAGUGGGGAAUAUUGGACAAUGGGCGCAAGCCUGAUCCAGCCAUGCCGCGUGGAUGAUGAAGGCCUUAGGGUUGUAAAGUCCUUUUAACGGGGAAGAUAAUGACGGUACCCGUAGAAUAAGCCCCGGCUAACUUCGU